CCCCCGGGACCCCGAAGCACCUCGGGAAGUGUAGUCCUGUCCCGGAGGGCAGGAGGACAAUGCCGGGGGUUGCAGGGCGCCUGGGGAGCAUCCCCAGCCCACAGGUCGCGGGCGUGGCCCUUCCCUCACUGUGUGCGUUCUUGCCAGCAUCCUCAGGUUCCCGAGCCGGUGACCAGGGACCUGUGCGGGAAAGCGUGGGGCUCUGGAAUUUGAUCGCCUUUGGUCUAACAAAGCCACUCAGCUUAAAUGCAGACUCCAUCUGUUCUUCCAAGCCUUCUGCGGAUGAUAGGGGAGGAAGAGCAAUAGCCGUUCUAGACUACACAGAUUGCAGUUAAGUGUUGCUUUUGUUCUCAGAGCACGUGCUCCCCAGAGCAGCACUGGGUUCUUUUUAAAAAUCGAAAAAGGAGCCACAAGGUCACUGUUCUCCCUGACCUGGAUAGCUCAGAACCUCAGCAAAGGCACAAAGGAAAUUGGUCUGACCGUGCCUUAGAAUAACUGGCCCUUUCUCUCACAAAAAGGGGAAAAAAAUAAAUGAAAUGAACAUGGUCCCCGCCUCCUCCCAUUCUCUGACCAAGACCGUGUCCUCGGUUGGUGGUCAAUACACCAAGACACCUGCUUUGAGAUCUUGACUAAGCAGAAGAGAUAUCUUUAUUUUAUUAAUGAGCUGCAUCUCCCCAAAUCAAGAAACAAAUGUGACCAACCUUCCUGAAACAACAGUCCUAAUUUAGAAAGACUCUCAUGCCUAGUUAGUCACCAGGGAUGUGCCAGAGAUAAAAUACAACUAAGGGGUGCCCAAGACAAUAAAAACUGGAUCAUACAAGCAGCAGCACACUACACAAAGCAAACAAUUAGCAAUGCGCUGUUGCCUGAAAUAUGCUUGUUGCGGCAUUUUUUCCAACAAUCGCCCUUGUGUGGGGUCGGCCUCCCCCCCAAGCCAAUCGAAGUGGUUUUCACUUAGCCUGUGAGCAGGACCAGGAAUAAUUCAGAUACUGAGCCUUGAAAGGCUUCUUCUCAGACCAAACUUAGCUUCAAAAUGGCUAGGUGCUUCCGUCUGUCAUUUUUCUGAACAGAAUCUCAGACAUCAUUAGAAAAGUUGGAGAAGGAUGGGCAUGAGACCCCUCAGGAAAGCGACAGAUAGGCAGGCAACACAAAUGAGCAAGGAACCCAAGCCCAAGAGGUCCUUACCCACUGAACAGGCUUUUUAUCUUGAAGUCUUUGUAUUUGAUCUGGAGGUUCACAGAGGAAGGUCCCACUCAUUUAAUGCAUUUUUUUAAGUACAAUAAAUUGCCACACAAAAGUCUCACA
rnacentral:lncRNA from 1 species